AUUGAACGCUGGCGGCAGGCCUAACACAUGCAAGUCGAACGGUAACAGGAAGCAGCUUGCUGCUUCGCUGACGAGUGGCGGACGGGUGAGUAAUGUCUGGGAAACUGCCUGAUGGAGGGGGAUAACUACUGGAAACGGUAGCUAAUACCGCAUAACGUCGCAAGACCAAAGAGGGGGACCUUAGGGCCUCUUGCCGUCGGAUGUGCCCAGAUGGGAUUAGCUAGUAGGUGGGGUAACGGCUCACCUAGGCGACGAUCCCUAGCUGGUCUGAGAGGAUGACCAGCCACACUGGAAGUGAGACACGGUCCAGACUCCUACGGGAGGCAGCAGUGGGGAAUAUUGCACAAUGGGCGCAAGCCUGAUGCAGCCAUGCCGCGUGUAUGAAGAAGGCCUUCGGGUUGUAAAGUACUUUCAGCGGGGAGGAAGGGAGUAAAGUUAAUACCUUUGCUCAUUGACGUUACCCGCAGAAGAAGCACCGGCUAACUCCGUG
rnacentral:rRNA from 1 species